rnacentral:rRNA from 1 species
AUUGAACGCUGGCGGCAUGCCUUACACAUGCAAGUCGAACGGUAACAGGUUAAGCUGACGAGUGGCGAACGGGUGAGUAAUGUAUCGGAACGUGCCCAGUCGUGGGGGAUAACUACUCGAAAGAGUGGCUAAUACCGCAUACGACCUGAGGGUGAAAGCGGGGGACCGUAAGGCCUCGCGCGAUUGGAGCGACCGAUAUCAAAUUAGCUAGUUGGUGGGGUAAAAGCCCAGCAAGGCGACGAUCUGUAGCUGGUCUGAGAGGACGACCAGCCGCACUGGAACUGAGACACGGCCCAGACUCCUGCGGGAGGCAGCAGUGGGGGAAUCUGGACAAUGGACGCAAGUCUGAUCCAGCCAUGCCGCGUGCGGGAAGAAGGCCUUCUGGUUGUAAACCGCUUUUGUCAGGGAAGAAACGAGUUUCUCUAAUACAGAGACUUAAUGACGGUACCUGAAGAAUAAGCACCGGCUAACUACGUGCCAGCCGCCGCAGUAAGAC